ACUCAGUUAGCUCAGUUGGCAGAGCGGAGGACUGUAGAUGUUACAACAGUGAUCCUUAGGUUGCUGGUUCAAAGUCGUAGGACGAGUGGGUA